rnacentral:rRNA from 1 species
ACAAUCUGCCCUUCACUCUGGAACAAGCCCUGGAAACGGGGUCUAAUACCGGAUACGACUGCGGGAGGCAUCUCCUGUGGUGGAAAGCUCCGGCGGUGAAGGAUGAGCCCGCGGCCUAUCAGCUUGUUGGUGGGGUAAUGGCCCACCAAGGCGACGACGGGUAGCCGGCCUGAGAGGGCGACCGGCCACACUGGGACUGAGACACGGCCCAGACUCCUACGGGAGGCAGCAGUGGGGAAUAUUGCACAAUGGGCGAAAGCCUGAUGCAGCGACGCCGCGUGAGGGAUGACGGCCUUCGGGUUGUAAACCUCUUUCAGCAGGGAAGAAGCGAAAGUGACGGUACCUGCAGAAGAAGCGCCGGCUAACUACGUGCCAGCAGCCGCGGUAAUACGUAGGGCGCAAGCGUUGUCCGGAAUUAUUGGGCGUAAAGAGCUCGUAGGCGGCUUGUCACGUCGGAUGUGAAAGCCCGAGGCUUAACCUCGGGUCUGCAUUCGAUACGGGCUAGCUAGAGUGUGGUAGGGGAGAUCGGAAUUCCUGGUGUAGCGGUGAAAUGCGCAGAUAUCAGGAGGAACACCGGUGGCGAAGGCGGAUCUCUGGGCCAUUACUGACGCUGAGGAGCGAAAGCGUGGGGAGCGAACAGGAUUAGAUACCCUGGUAGUCCACGCCGUAAACGUUGGGAACUAGGUGUUGGCGACAU